UUCCGGUUGAUCCCGCCGGACCCGACUGCUAUUUGGGUGAGGAUAAACCAUGCGAGUUGAAUGGGAUACCUAAAUAUCCCAUAGCAAACUGCUCAGUAACACAUGAUCAACUUACCCUAUGGAGAAAAAUAACCUCGGGAAACUGAGGAUAAUGUUUCAUAGUUGAAUAGGCUUGGAAAAGUUUUUCAAUGAAAGGGAUAAGAAAAAUGGUUCUUAUUUGCCAUAGGAUAGGAUCGUGGUCGAUUAUGGUUGUUGGUGAGGUAACGGCUCACCAAGCCGAUAAUCGAUAGGGGCCGUGAGAGCGGGAGCCCCGAGAUGGGUACUGAGACAACGACCCAGGCCUUACGAGGCGCAGCAGGUGCGGAACCUCCGCAAUACACGAAAGUGUGACGGGGUUACCCAAAGUGUUCAUUAUUGAACUGUGGUAGGUGAGUAAUGUCCCCUACUAGAAAGGAGAGGGCAAGGCUGGUGCCAGCCGCCGCGGUAAAACCAGCUCUUCAAGUGGUCGGGAUGAUUAUUGGGCUUAAAGUGUCCGUAGCCGGUUUAGUAAGUUCCUGGUAAAAUCGGGUAGCUUAACUAUCCGUAUGCUAGGAAUACUGCUAUACUAGAGGGCGGGAGAGGUCUGAGGUACUAUAGGGGUAGGGGUGAAAUCCUAUAAUCCUUAUAGGACCACCAGUGGCGAAGGCGUCAGACUGGAACGCGCCUGACGGUGAGGGACGAAAGCCAGGGGAGCGAACCGGAUUAGAUACCCGGGUAGUCCUGGCCGUAAACGAUGCAUACUANGUGAUGGCACGGCCAUGAGCCGUGUCAGUGCCGUAGGGAAACCGUUAAGUGUGCCGCCUGGGAAAGUACGGUCGCAAGGCUAAAACUUAAAGGAAUUGGCGGGGGAGCACCACAAGGGGUGAAGCCUGCGGUUCAAUUGGAUUCAACGCCGGAAAUCACUAGUGCGG
rnacentral:rRNA from 1 species